AGAAGUUACUCUGUUGGAAAAAGAAGAUGCUUCCACAUAGAACGACACAUCAACAAAGCUCAUGAAAUACUGUCUUAUUCUUUGGAGGACACCAACAUCCUUCUCUUGUACAGAAGCCUCCCGAGGACCUUGCUGUAGGCAUGAAUGGUCUGCUGCUGAUCCCUCAGGUUGAGUAAGUUUAUCCACAGGAGUAGCUGUCAUGAUCAAGGAGUGAUAUGUAACCUGACCAUUACAAAGACAUAGUGUGCUAUGAAUGCUCUUGAAAAGGAAGAUCGUAUGUAUGAAGGAAUCAUUGCUUUCAUGCUGAAGACUUCAGAGCAGCAAUUGAAAGGAAAACAAAAUACAUGUUCUUCUGAAAAGGUAUUUAUUUAUUUAUUACCUGAGACAUCACAAAUGGGUACUGAGGUUUUAGCAUGGAAACUGCACAGCUUUUCCCUUUCUCCUCUGCUCCCUCCAUCUGCCACUGCAGCUUCUUAACGUUUGACAACAAUUCUGGGGCAGCUGUAUUUUUAUGCUACUAUUUAAUUUUGCUGGUAGACAUUCUUGUUUAUGUGAGUCUCUUACACAAAGGAGAAAAAACAGUAAGUGGUGUUGUAGCACAUGGCUGCUUCUAGCAAAGCACAUAUUUAAGGGCCUUCUUAAACAGAACUAAUCUAACGUGAGCCCUCACCUAAAUUAUGAGGAAAAUUGACACUGUCCCAAACCAUGCUUUUAACAGCCAGCUUCCUUGCUUGCAAGCACUCAACAGUAUUCAAAGAAAUCUUUAUAUAUUAAAAAAUAAGUCAUAAAACAUGAAAAUUGUAGCACCUGAACUCACUAUCGUUGGACCCACUGAGCAGUUGAGAGGCCAGUUCCCCACCUGAGGCAGACUUUGCAGCCAAGCAGCUCACCUGAUCACAUCUGGGAUACUGGGGGAGCCCAGCACUAGUGGUGAUGUUGUCAAAGGGAAAGUGUUACCUUGUUAUUUGAACAAGGUAAUGGGAACAAUAUGGGAAUGAGCUGUCAGAAAGAGAACCCAGCUCUUCCUCUUCCCCCAUUUUCUAAAUCUAAUGUUCAGAUGUGGUAAAUUCCCAGGUGGCAUUAUAAACAUUGUGGAUACAGAAUAG